rnacentral:rRNA from 1 species
UACGGAGGAUCCAAGCGUUAUCCGGAAUCAUUGGGUUUAAAGGGUCCGUAGGCGGUUUAGUAAGUCAGUGGUGAAAGCCCAUCGCUCAACGGUGGAACGGCCAUUGAUACUGCUAGACUUGAAUUGUUGGGAAGCAACUAGAAUAUGUAGUGUAGCGGUGAAAUGCUUAGAGAUUACAUGGAAUACCAAUUGCGAAGGCAGGUUGCUACCAAUACAUUGACGCUGAUGGACGAAAGCGUGGGGAGCGAACAGG